UGGGGAAUAUUGGGGCAAUGGGGCGAAAGCCUGACCCAGCAACGCCGCGUGAAGGAAGAAGGUUUUCGGAUUGUAAACUUCUUUUAUCAGGGACGAAGAAAGUGACGGUACCUGAUGAAUAAGCCACGGCUAACUACGUGCCAGCAGCCGCGGUAAUACGUAGGGGGCAAGCGUUAUCCGGAAUUACUGGGUGUAAAGGGAGCGCAGGCGGGGGGAGCAAGUCAGCUGUGAAAUCUAUGGGCUUAACCCAUAAACUGCAGUUGAAACUGUUCUUCUUGAGUGAAGUAGAGGUUGGCGGAAUUCCGAGUGUAGCGGUGAAAUGCGUAGAUAUUCGGAGGAACACCGGUGGCGAAGGCGGCCAACUGGGCUUUUACUGACGCUGAGGCUCGAAAGUGUGGGGAGCAAACAGGAUUAGAUACCCUGGUAGU
rnacentral:rRNA from 1 species